rfam:Lactobacillus floricola DSM 23037 = JCM 16512 strain DSM 23037 NODE_27, whole genome shotgun sequence.
UGUGGUGGCGAUAGCAAGAAGGUUACACCUGUUCUCAUGCCGAACACAGAAGUUAAGCUUCUUAGCGCUGAAAGUAGUUGGUGGGUAACUACCUGCGAGGAUAAGACGUUGCCACGC